CAGCUUGGAAACCACUGAUUCCUUUUAUUCUUAGAUUUGUUUUAUUCUUAAUGUGUUUUAAACUUAAUCCAAAACUUGUUUUUAUUUUUUUUAUAUUUAAGUGAGCAUGUCUGAUGCUCUAUUUUAUUGAAAAAGACCCUGCUUAGUAAACUUGGAAGGCCCACUGAGCUGCCAGCUGCUGAGGCCACCUCUCUGCCCAUAGCCUCCCAGCAAACAUUUUUCUGGAUUUAAACAGUGCUUAUGAUUGACAUUUGUUACAAUUCCCUCUUUCCUCUUUUUAUGCUGGGUGGGAUUUUUCUUUCAAACUACACAAGUCCUACCUGCUUGUGCCAACAACUAAAAUCAUACAGUAACUAAAAUUUGGCCCGAGGUCCCCAGGGUGACCCCCCACCACAUGAACACUAGGAGGGGCGUCCUCACACCCCCGCCACACCCCAGCUCCUCCUCACACCCCCGCCACACCCCAGCUCCUCACACUAGGAGGGGUGUCCUCACACCCCCGCCACACCCCAGCUCCUCCUCCUCGGGGAGGCAGUGCUCCUGCAAACCCCAGACAUAGAGCUGCCUGGCUGUCUGCAGCUCCCACCCUCCCCAGGGUCUUCUGGUGCACAAGACCCUCCUUGCAAGGGAAGCUGGGAUAGGUGGGCACAGACCCUAAACUCCUCACAGUUUCUGCAGUUGCCAGGCUGGACGGUUCCUCAGAAGAUCCUGCGGAUAAUGUCAACCAAGGCGUGUGUGCAGGAGGCUGAGCCCAGCCUACAGAGAGCCCCGAAUACGUUGGAAUGAAGGGCUCCUGGCGGGGCCUUGGAGAAGAGAAGCCACCACUGUGUGUAGAUGGCAGGAGACUCAUUACAGAUCUCAGUGGAGUAGCAGCGGACUUGAAGAGUGGAGGCCUGAGCGUGGGAACCUUCAGUUACCCCAGCCUUUGGGACCCAGGGGCCUUGGAACUUGGUCUGUUUCAUGCAAGUCCGGCGUUCUGCUUCUGCUCCCACUCCAGUGUGAGGGGUCUGAGGGUAUGGGCUGUGCUGUGAGCCUGGUGCGCCCCACCUUGCAAGUUGUGCAUGAGGCCGGUCAGCCUGCCUGUGGUUUGACCUACUUUAAAAAUGUUCUAAUUAGUUGUCAACACUUAAAAAUUAAAAAUCUCGAGAUUUAAUCAUCACUUUAUAUCUCUGCUCUUUCUGGAAAACUCAGACUGUCCCCCUACUGAGCUCAAGGUGCCCCAUAUGUGCACCCAUAGGGGCCCUCCCUGCCAUACCCAGCUGGCUUCAUUCAUUUCCUUUCCUGCCUUCUGGGAGCCAAAGUUCAGGUACAAAAUUCCAGCUGUACGUUUGCAGUGAUUUCCCCCGAACACUGUUUCCCUAGAGGGGAGGCACCUCUCCUAGGCUCCGUCCUCAAUGCUCAUUGGCUGCUGCUGCUGUCGAGAAACAAGCCUGGGGUGAAGUCCCGUAUUCCAGCUGUCUCAGUCAGUCCAUUCCCUUGCGAGGCUGCAAUUCGAACAGGCACAAGGGUCCAGUUCGGGUCUGCUGUUGAGACUAGCAGUCUCCUUUGCUACAACAAUUAAAAAAAUCAUUUUCUAUGUCAGCAACGUCAUUCAUCGUCCCGAGGUCUCUGCUUAUUGCGGCGCUGUCUUCAGCUGCGAAGACUGA
ensembl:lncRNA